UACGUAGGGGGCAAGCGUUGUCCGGAUUUAUUGGGCGUAAAGAGCGUGUAGGCGGCCAAACAGGUCCGUUGUGAAAACUGGAGGCUUAACCUCCAGACGUCGACGGAAACCGUAUGGCUAGAGUCCGGAAGAGGAGAGUGGAAUUCCUGGUGUAGCGGUGAAAUGCGCAGAUAUCAGGAAGAACACCAAUGGCGAAGGCAGCUCUCUGGGACGGUACUGACGCUGAGACGCGAAAGCGUGGGGAGCGAACAGG
rnacentral:rRNA from 1 species